rnacentral:rRNA from 1 species
AGUCGUGCGAGAAAGCCUUACUUCGGUUUGGCGAGUAAAGCGGCGAACGGGUGAGUAACACGUGGAAAAUCUGCCCUCGAAUCUGGGAUAAUCCCUCGAAAGGGGGUCUAAUACCGGAUAACACCGCGAGGUGGCAUCACCUUGCGUUCAAAGGCGGGGCAACCUGUCGUUCGGGGAUGAUUCCGCGCUCCAUUAGCUUGUUGGUAAGGUAACGGCUUACCAAGGCUACGAUGGAUAGCCGGCCUGAGAGGGUGAUCGGCCACACUGGGACUGAGAUACGGCCCAGACUCCUACGGGAGGCAGCAGUAGGGAAUAUUGCGCAAUGGACGCAAGUCUGACGCAGCAACGCCGCGUGGGUGAUGAAGCUCCUUGGAGUGUAAAACCCUGUCAGUGGGGAAGAAACGUGCGAGGAGUAACUGCCUCGUGCUUGACGGUACCCACAGAGGAAGUCCCGGCUAACUCCGUGCCAGCAGCCGCGGUAAUACGGGGGGGACAAGCGUUGUUCGGAUUUACUGGGCGUAAAGGGCGCGUGGGCGGACCUCUAAGUCGGGUGUGAAAACUGUUGGCUUAACUGACAGCCUGCACUCGAUACUGGAGGCCUUGAGUACGGAAGAGGAGAGUGGAAUUCCAGGUGUAGCGGUGAAAUGCGUAGAUAUCUGGAAGAACACCAGUAGCGAAGGCGGCUCUCUGGUCCGAUACUGACGCUAAAGCGCGAAGGCUUGGGGAGCAAACAGGAUUAGAUACCCUGGUAGUCCAAGCGGUAAACGAUGGGCACUAGGUGUCGGGGGUAUCGACCCCCUCGGUGCCGAAGCUAACGCAUUAAGUGCCCCGCCUGGGGGGUACGGUCGCAAGAUUGAAACUCAAAGGAAUUGACGGGGGCCCGCACAAGCGGUGGAGUAUGUGGUUUAAUUCGAGGCAACGCGCAGAACCUUACCUGGGUUUGACAUGCUUGGGACUGUCGGUGAAAGCCGGCUUCCCCUUCGGGGGCCCUUGCACAGGUGCUGCAUGGCUGUCGUCAGCUCGUGCCGUGAGGUGUUGGGUUAAGUCCCGCAACGAGCGCAAGCCUCGUCCGUAGUUGCCAUCAGGUUAUGCUGGGAACUCUACGGAGA